ensembl:miRNA bta-mir-584-8 bta-mir-584-8
AGGAUGGCCAAGCAUUCUGGUUUGCCUGGGACUGAGUGCCUGAGGUACGGGACUUGCAGUGCCAAGAUUAGGAUGUUGUUGUUGCUGC